GGGCCUUUAGCUCAGUCGGUUAGAGCGAAGAACUCAUAAUUCUUUGGUCGCAGGUUCGAGCCCUGCAAGGCCCACCA
rnacentral:tRNA from 1 species